GGGAAGGCGAGGAAGUGAUUCUCUGUCCUAGCCAAGUAUACGUCCAGGCUUGGAGACGACUGAAAAUAAAAAUAAAUGAUAGACAUCUAAAACACCCUUACAGUUUACAAGAGGAUCCCCGAAGCUACAGAAUCACAGAUGACGCGGAGCUGCGUGAAGGCGUCUCUGGGCGAGUCCCACAGGGAAGAUGAAAAGCAAGCGGCCCGGAAGGGCCCGAGGGCGGAGCGCAGGCUCACGGGACACAGCGCGCACCAAUGAUGAGCAAACUGAACCAGCGUCAGGAGGCGCCAGUUAAACUCAAAUGUUUCAGCUCAACAAGGCCUGUGAGGUGGUUCCUAUUUCUCCAGUUUUACGUUCUCCGGUAUGUCUUUAUCAGCAGCAUGAAAACAAGACUAAUACACCCCCACACCAUGGUACCGAAGACGGGACACAGCUGCUCUACUGAUUAAAUUCAACUGACGUGAGGUUGCAGCUAUUCUAUUCAUAUAUUCACCAUCCCAUUCUUGAUGAUGUUCCUCAAGCUUACUUAACUUGCACGUGGAUGCAGAAGAAAGGUUUCUUUUGAAAGACUGUUGUAAAUAAAAGAGUCUGUAGUGCUUAUGUUGUUGUUUGUUGACUGACUAUAAAAUAGAUCCUUGCUGAUUUGUACAUUUGAUUUCCCAUGGGGCAGUAACAAUAUGAAAG
rnacentral:lncRNA from 1 species